rnacentral:rRNA from 1 species
GUCCUUUUGAUAAUAAUAUAAGGUCUAACCUGCCCACUGAAAUUUUAAAGGGCCGCAGUAUUUUAACUGUGCAAAGGUAGCAUAAUAAUUAGUUUCUUAAUUAGAAGCUAGUAUGAAUGGUUGAACGAGAAAUUUACUGUCUCAAUUUAUAAAUUAAAAUUUUAUUUUUAAGUUAAAAAGCUUAAAUUAAUUUAAAAGACGAGAAGACCCUAUAGAGUUUUAUAAUUAUUUAUAUUUUAUAUUUAGAAUUUAUUAUUUUUAUUUAUAAUUAUUUUAUUGGGGUGAUAUAUAAAUUUAAUAAACUUUAUAUUUUUAUUAACAUAAAUUAAUGAUUAAUUGAUCCAUAUAAAUGAUUAAAAGAAAAAAUUACCUUAGGGAUAACAGCGUAAUUUUUUUUUAGAGUUCUAAUCGAAAAAAAAGAUUGCGACCUCGAUGUUGGAUUAAAAUUAAUUUUUGGUGUAGAAGCUAAAAUAUUAGGUCUGUUCGACCUUUAAAAUUUUACAUGAUCUGAGUUUAAACCGGCGUGAGCCAGGUUGGUUUCUAUCUUUAAAUAAAUUAAAUAUUUUAGUACGAAAGGACCAAAUAUUUUUAAAAAUUAAUUUUUUUUUGAAUA